AUACGAAGGGUGCAAGCGUUAAUCGGAAUUACUGGGCGUAAAGCGCGCGUAGGUGGUUUUGUAAGUUGGAGGUGAAAGCCCCGGGCUCAACCUGGGAAUUGCCUCCAAAACUGCAUGACUAGAGUACGGUAGAGGGUAGUGGAAUUUCCUGUGUAGCGGUGAAAUGCGUAGAUAUAGGAAGGAACACCAGUGGCGAAGGCGACUACCUGGACUGAUACUGACACUGAGGUGCGAAAGCGUGGGGAGCAAACAGGAUUGGAUACCCUGGUAGUCCACGCCGUAAACGAUGUCAACUAGCCGUUGGGAUCCUUGAGAUCUUAGUGGCGCAGCUAACGCAUUAAGUUGACCGCCUGGGGAGUACGGCCGCAAGGUUAAAACUCAAAUGAAUUGACGGGG
rnacentral:rRNA from 1 species